UACGGAGGGUGCAAGCGUUAUCCGGAUUUAUUGGGUUUAAAGGGUCCAUAGGCGGAUUUGUAAGUCAGUGGUGAAAUCUCACAGCUUAACUGUGAAACUGCCAUCGAUACUGCAAGUCUUGAGUGUUGUUGAAGUAGCUGGAAUAAGUAGUGUAGCGGUGAAAUGCAUAGAUAUUACUUAGAACACCAAUUGCGAAGGCAGGUUACUAAGCAACAACUGACGCUGAUGGACGAAAGCGUGGGGAGCGAACAGGAUUAGAUACCCUGGUAGUCCACGCCGUAAACGAUGCUAACUCGUUUUUGGGAUGUAAAUUUCAGAGACUAAGCGAAAGUGAUAAGUUAGCCACCUGGGGAGUACGAACGCAAGUUUGAA
rnacentral:rRNA from 1 species